rnacentral:lncRNA from 1 species
UGUUCUUGCACUGCACUGGGCUCGCUCUUGGGCUUGGGCUUGCUGCGAUUGGGCCUCUUCGCGGGCUGGACUUGGGCUGAAGAUGGACUUGAAACAAAACUGAACUGGGCCUUAAAUUACUGGGCUGAUCUCUUGAGGGCCUGACUUUGCUUGGGCUUCAAAUGGCGUGGGUUCAAUGAAGCUGCUGCUCACUUGGGCUGCGAUGAGGACUACAAUUAGGCUGAAGACACGGGCUUGAAUCAAGCUGGGCCACGACAAAUUCGUGUGGGGUGCUGAACGCUUGACUUCGGAUGAGAUGGACUCGGACG